GGAAAACACCUGCCCACCUGGAACUUAGAGCUACCUGGGUUCAUGGGCCAGUGUUAGUACUUAGCUGGACACUAGAAACACCCAUGUCUCGGGGCAAGUCAGGCACCCUCUAACCCUACACCAUGGUUAUGUGUAGUACCUGCAGCCACAAUCCACAAUGAACACACAAAGACUGAUUUAUUUUACUUGGGGCUUUUUUUUUUUUUCCAAGUUGGGCCUAAAACAUACAUAGUAAGACCUCACCACACCCCAACCCUGAAGGAAGAGAAAAGGUGAAAUCAUGAAUUAACAAAGGAUAUUUGGUCCAACAUAACCUCCCUAUAAGAAUCGAUGUUAAAAUUACAGUUAUUAGCCAUAUUUCCUUUCAGGAGCAGUUAGAGUCACUUCGGAAGGUGAGGCAAUUAAUUUUUAAGUUUAUGUUACACAUUAUAACACAGCAGGCCAUUAACAAGAUGGCAACAUUAACCUUAAUGUACUUGGCAAAGGCUGCUGUGGACGUAAGCUGGACAGGCUCCUGAGCUGCAUGGACACAGGACAUCCAACAGGACAGGGCUGAGGGGCUUCACCCUGUGUCCCCAACCAGGUGAAAGGCAUUCUACAAGUUCACCAGGCUGGUGGAUGCUGUCCCCCCUUGGGUGGGAAGGCAAGUGCCUUGCUCCAGGCUUUGGUAGAAAGGGCUCACUCAGACUCUUCCUGGAGGUUAAGACCUUGACAGAUGCUGAUGGGGGUCCUGUAAGAGGCUUGGCUCUGUGUGGGUUGGGAUCAGAGGUUAGAGCUCAGUCUGGAGCUAGGGUUAGAGGGCAGAGAUGUAUCCCUCAUGGCCUGAGAAUUUCUUCCCACAAGCCCUUCAGAGUGGGCACCGUGGUGCUCCCACUUUCCAAGAGAUGUUCCAGCUCAGGCAGGAUCUGCUUUUGUCAAUGCCACUAGAUAGGGCUGACCUUCCUGCCUGCUGUGACUUCAGGGCCAGUGAGGAGCCUGCCCUUCCUCCAGACCCUCACAUACCCUGCUGUACCACUGGCCGCUCCUUACCCACAGUGUGCCCGUGGUGGGCUCUGUACUAGUACUUGGGAGUCUAGACAACUGGGAGAGGGCUCUGGGAGAUGCGUUCUGCUCACUUUGAAAGGAGCGUCCAGGCUGGGACUGUGGCUCAGGGGCAGAACACUUACCUAGCACGUGCACAAGGGAAGCCCUGGGGUCAUCUCCUGAACAAGAAAGGGAGGCAGGAAGGUGGGUGGGGAGACUCUUUAGCCAGGACGCAAGAUGUAGAAACACAAGCAUAGUGGACGGGAAUUGACUUGAGAAGCUGAGGCCACUCAGGCCCCUCAGGCUACUUGGGAUCUGCACCAUCCCCAGGGAACACAGGGGCGAGACUUGGCUAGGGCAGAGGACAAGCCUACUCCUCUCCAUCUGGAUUUCAUGGGUUUUAGCAAGUCCACUUGAUGAAGAUUGCAUCUGGGAGUGGCUGGCAAGGAGGUGUGGACUGGGGUUGUCCCUGGAGUAACUGGCAGGGCAGGAAGAUGUUGUCCAGGAGCAGGCAGGGGAAAGGUUUGCCCUUGAGAUACAAGCCAGGGAACCGGAUCAGCCUGGGAUCUUUUCGGUGGUGUGAGGCUGCUUCUCUAGGUCCCAGCGCAGACACCAGCCAGCUGUUAAGCCAUGGGAAGAACUUGGAGCAUUGAGACAGACCACAGCAGUGUUCCACAGCUGAGCAAAGGUGACAACUUUGAAAAAGGUUGGGAAAUGCACUGCCACAGGAGGGCUAGACACAAGGCUGGACCUGGAGCUCAGAAGAAUUCCAAGGCUCUCCUGCUUCAGUGGGGCAUGAUGCAGAGUCAACCGGUCGUCAAAGGCUAGAAUAAUCGUCCGAGUGCUGUCCUUGAGACCCUUGCGACUUCCUCAAGCCUCUUGGGGGAAGAAAGGAAGGACCUUAUCCAGGGGCAAAGAUGAGGGACUUGGCAGAUCCUCACCUAAGCACCUGUGCACCUGUAGGUAGAAUAAUGGAGAAAGGUCCUGCCUAUGCCCUUGUGCCCACCUGAUGCCCUGACACGUAUGUGUGGAUAUGUUCAUGCCCUGACAAGGCGCACGUGUGGAGUUCAGUGGACAACUUGUGGGAGUUGCUUAUCUCCUUCCACUAUAAGGGUCUUGGGUAUUGA